ensembl:lncRNA
UCAAUCAUUCAUCUGCUUAUUUAUGCAUUCAGCUUGUUUGUACCUCUUCCUUGCUUUGGUUGCAGCAGAUGUUGGUCCUCUUCUGCUUUGAUCUGUUCCCAGCUUCUGCGGCAGCUGCCCAGCAGAGGCCAUCUGAUGUCACUUUGUUCGUUACCUGGAUGAAAGGGUGUCUCCCUCUCAGAGGAGCCUGAGACAAACAAAGGGACAGUGCAGAGCCGUCCCUGCCUGGAAGCCCCCUUCCAUUGCAGGCUCCAGCCUCCUGGUCCACAGAAAAUAACUCAACCCAGCGCGGAAUAAACUCCAACACUGAUCGGUUUUCAAGAAGUUAACCUAAGACAAAAUACUGCUAGAGGGCAGCAGCAAUUUGGAAUCAUUAAAGGGAACCCAUGUAAAUAAUAAAAACAAAACUAAAAUGCAGAAUUAAAUUAAGGAAUAGGAAAUUAAAUUUGUGAAUCUGAUCUGAAAUUGAGGCCCUAUAUGCACAGGCUUUACCCUGGCUUGGCUCUUUGCUCAGGAGGGCUGGGGUGGGAAGGUUCUGCAGAGGUUCCCAGCCCAGGGAAGCAGCCGACAGGAGUGCGCACACCAGCCUCGCCUCCUGGGUGACAGUGUGCUGUCCUGGGAAGAGUGGUGUAGGCUCGCAGGGAGUAAAGGGACUUCCCUCCCACGAGGCCCUCUAGGAGGAAGAUGAGAGCCGCAUCAUCCCAGCUACUUCUGGAUGACUUGCAUCGAGUGCCAGUGACUAGAGAAGGAGAACCAACAGCCUGCAGCUGAGAGGCUGCGCUGCCACCACUGGAGGCUGCACAGGAAAUGAGGCAGAUGGAUGCAGGCUGGCUGCCCCGAGAUGCUGAGAGCAGACACAGGCAGAGUGGCCUCUCCAGUCCCACUCCACCCCAGCGCUCCGUCACCCUCCCACAGAGCCUUCUUAAACGCCUGCAGCCUGCCCCUGGGCCCCUAUUCAUCACAAUUACUGCUCCAACUGUCGGAGGCAGUGCAUGAAACGGCGCACGCUGACGUCCAAUAUUUUAUCACUAAUAAAGAGAAACAUCCCAAGUAUUUGCACAGUUCUGAUACUUUCCAGCCUCGAGCCCAGGAAAAGGGGGAGCGUGGUAGAUUUAUGCUCACUGCCCGGCAUUCUUAUUGGCCUUCUCGGCUGGAGCCUCUGGGACCGCUGGUCUCUGGCGCUUCACAGCCACAGACUCCGGCAAGCCUGCGGGAAGCUGGCCGGGCGCGCGCCAGACGGCCUGGGAGGGGCCCGCCGAGCACACAGUAGGCCCUUCCUCCGGCAUCUGGAAAGUGGUGCGAAACAUUAUAAAGGCGAUUUUUAAAAAUCAUGAUUUGGCAAGGGCUCGCCUACACUGGUGGCUUUGUAAACAGAUCAGUUGUUUAUGAGGAAUCUUGUUCCGGUUGUUGCCGCGUUUCGCCUUCCGUACCGCCCCCCUCCCCGCCCUCCACCAUCCCCAGGCUGUGUCUGCGCGCAGCCAGGUCCCUUCUCAGACUCAGGACACUCCCUCUUUGGCCUCCCAGCUCCAAGCAGAGGGAAGCUCAGUUUCCAGCCAGUGUUCAGACGGCUGCGUCUACAUGGCACCCAAACAUCUGGAUGAAAUGUAAAUAAAACAAGCAGAUGUUUCUUCUUCCUUAUAGCA